GUGCUCACCUCGGCAGCACAUAUACUAAAAGUGGAAUGAUACAGAGACCAUUAGCAUGGCCCCUGUGCAAGGAAAACAUGAAAAUUAAUGAAAAGUUCCAUCUUUAU